GACCUCGUGGCUCAGUUGACUAGAGCAUUGGCUCUACCAAAGCCUUCCCUUUGCUAGCGUGUGUUCGAAUCCCACCGAGGCUG
rnacentral:tRNA from 1 species